CCUACGGGAGGCAGCAGUGAGGAAUCUUCCACAAUGGGCGAAAGCCUGAUGGAGCAACGCCGCGUGAAGGAUGAAGGCCUUCGGGUUGUAAACUUCUUUUAUGAGUGAAGAAUAUGACGGUAACUCAUGAAUAAGCACCGGCUAACUACGUGCCAGCAGCCGCGGUCAUACGUAGGGUGCGAGCAUUAUCCGGAGUGACUGGGCGUAAAGAGUUGCGUAGGCGGUAAGUCAAGUGAAUAGUGAAACCUGGUGGCUCAACCAUACAGACUAUUAUUCAAACUGGCUUACUCGAGAGUGGUAGAGGUCACUGGAAUUUCUUGUGUAGGAGUGAAAUCCGUAGAUAUAAGAAGGAACACCGAUGGCGUAGGCAGGUGACUGGACCAUUUCUGACGCUAAGGCACGAAAGCGUGGGGAGCGAACCGGAUUAGAUACCCUUGUAGUC
rnacentral:rRNA from 1 species